GAAAUGGCUCCGCAGUUUAGAGCAGUGUCUGUUUUUCCAGAGGUUCAGGGUUCAAUUCCCAGUUUCUCCACAUGAUGAUCCCAAUGUUCUCUAUUCCAGUUCCAGGGGAUUGGAGGCACACACGUUCAUGCAUACAAAACAUAUAUACUAAAAAUAAUCAUUAGAAAAUUAAAAAAAAAAUAAGAAUCCAUUCAGACAAGCUUCUCGUUUGGGAGAAGAUAGAGGUGGCCUUUAGUGCAAGGACAGGGACAAUAUAGAAUCCCAUGGGGAGCUGUCCUGGCAUGGUGCGUCCACACCUGAGAGUGGCUCUCCUGCCUCUGCUUUUGCCUCUUGGGCUCUUCAUCAACCAGGCCAAGCCCUCCCUCAUCACUAGACAGUAUAACUAACUUCAAGAUGACAGAUUAGCAGAUGCAUAGAGAAGGGACCUUUAGCAGGGGUCCUAUUCUCUCUCUCUCUCUCUCUCUCUCUCUCUCUCUCUCUCUCUCUCUCUGACAGAAUUUUACUAUGUUAGUGCUGGCUGUUCUGGUACUCAACUAUGUAGACCAAUCUGGCCUCGAACCCACAGAGAUCCGCCUGCCUCUGCCUCUGCCUCCCAAGUGCUGGGAUUGAGGGCCUGCACCAUCUCACCCUGCUCUCUCUUUAGAGUGAGGAUUGUGACUGGGAUCACAAGACUCUUGAGGAGUAAAUCCUGUCAGCUCUGUCAGAGCCUGUCUAGUGUCUCAGGUGCCAGAGUAUAGUCUUCUGAGGGCCUGGGCAUCCUAAGCCUGGGGGAGCCUGCUGGUUCCCUGGAGCCUCUAAAGUUGGAAGUCGGUUAGGUGGUGAGGAGGGGCCAGAAAGCAGACAUCCAGGAACUCUGGCCGGCAUCCCUUGCUGCAUGCUUGCCCUGGCUCUCGGCAGGCUGAGGGGGUUCUGGAGGAAGCCCCAUGUUGGGAAUGAGGGGGGCUGGGAUAGAGCAGUGGAUUAGAAGCCCCUAAUUCAGAGGCUGUAGUAAAUCCUGCCCUGCCAAUAACAGUUACCCUAGAGAAAGCAGUAAUAAGGUCUUGGUUCAGCUUGAGUGACACUAAGCCCUCUGGGGUACAGAGAGGCAAUAUGAGCAAAAGUCCCGUGAGAGUUGGAGAGUGCUUCUGGCUUGCUAUUAAAUAAAUGUCAGCCAGCCACCUCACCUUUCCAACUCUUAGCUCCUCUAAUUCUGGGGAUUUUUUUUUUCUUCAGCUGCAAAGUGCAAUCAUAAUGAUGUCUUUAUUUGCAUAAGGGCCUAGCAGAUUUCACAUACUUCAUUUAUCUCUUGUAAUCCUGAGCACACAAUCAAAGUGUAUUGCCUCCUUAGAUUAGGAAAGCGAGCCUUAGAGAGAUUAAGAGAUUGACUGAGGUUCCCAUGACUCCUGCCUGACAAAGACCAGAAUGACAAACAGUGGCGAUGGAGAACAGAAGAUUUUUUGGCUGUGACAUUGGAAACACUGGAGGAAAAAAUUAGACUCCAAUUUUUAGCCUAACUCCAUUUGAAAAUGGGUUUCUGUAUCACUGUGUUAGAUUCUGAGGCUCAGCCG
rnacentral:lncRNA from 1 species